rnacentral:rRNA from 1 species
CAGUCGUACCUUCGGGUAAUCAGCCUUUCGGGUGCGAUUCUGUGGGGUUUGAGGAGCUUAACACCCUCAUGUUUUACGUAUUCGUGCUCUUGGGUGUACUUGCCCGUGUGGUAGGUUAACAUCAAUUUUGGUCGUCAUAAAAAUGACUGGAGGAAUGUAGCUUUGGUCUCGUAUCGAAGUGUUAUAGACUCUGGUAGAUGUGACGAUUGGGAUUGAGGAUUGCAACGGAUACCCUUCGGGGGCUACUCGUCUGAUCUCUGAAGGUUGCUCCGGUG